CCUGUACCCAGCCCUUGAUUUCGUUGAACGAGUUGUACUGCGUGAGAUCGAACACGAGCAGGGCGGCAUUCGCGUUGCGAUAGUACAGCGGGGCCAUCGCUUUGAACCGCUCCUGGCCCGCCGUAUCCCAAACCUGGCAAGUGUCCUCCAGAUUGACCUUGCAGGUGAAAAAGGACGCACCGAUCGUGGGCGAUAUUUCCUUCGUGUACACGUUCGAGACAUACCGCACCACCAGGCUCGUUUUGCCCACACCUGGACGGAUGAGAAAGACGGAGAAUAAAAGCAUUAAUAUAUAAAAUGAUCAUAAAAGGUACAUUUCCAAUUAAAUGUGCAAUACACUCAUGCAAACAUUCAACAUUCGGCGGCA